GAUGAACGCUGGCGGCGUGCCUAAUACAUGCAAGUCGAGCGAACAGACGAGGAGCUUGCUCCUCUGACGUUAGCGGCGGACGGGUGAGUAACACGUGGAUAACCUACCUAUAAGACUGGGAUAACUUCGGGAAACCGGAGCUAAUACCGGAUAAUAUAUUGAACCGCAUGGUUCAAUAGUGAAAGACGGUUUUGCUGCCACUUAUAGAUGGAUCCGCGCCGCAUUAGCUAGUUGGUAAGGUAACGGCUUACCAAGGCGACGAUGCGUAGCCGACCUGAGAGGGUGAUCGGCCACACUGGAACUGAGACACGGUCCAGACUCCUACGGGAGGCAGCAGUAGGGAAUCUUCCGCAAUGGGCGAAAGCCUGACGGAGCAACGCCGCGUGAGUGAUGAAGGUCUUCGGAUCGUAAAACUCUGUUAUUAGGGAAGGACAAAUGUGUAAGUAACUAUGCACGUCUUGACGGUACCUAAUCAGAAAGCCACGGCUAACUACGUG
rnacentral:rRNA from 1 species